rnacentral:rRNA from 1 species
UACGUAGGGGGCAAGCGUUGUCCGGAAUUAUUGGGCGUAAAGAGCGUGUAGGCGGCCAGAUAAGUCCGCUGUGAAAUCUCGAGGCUCAACUUCGAGCUGUCGGUGGAAACUAUCUGGCUAGAGUCCGGAAGAGGAGAAUGGAAUUCCUGGUGUAGCGGUGAAAUGCGCAGAUAUCAGGAGGAACACCGGUGGCGAAGGCGGAUCUCUGGGCCUUACCUGACGCUGAGGCGCGAAAAGCUAGGGGAGCGAACAGG